rnacentral:rRNA from 1 species
GGUGAACGCUGGCGGCGUGCCUAAUACAUGCAAGUCGAGCGAACGGACGAGAAGCUUGCUUCUCUGAUGUUAGCGGCGGACGGGCGAGUAACACGUGGAUAACCUACCUAUAAGACUGGGAUAACUUCGGGAAACCGGAGCUAAUACCGGAUAAUAUUUUGAACCGCGUGGUUCAAAAGUGAAAGACGGUCUUGCUGUCACUUAUAGAUGGAUCCGCGCUGCAUUAGCUAGUUGGUAAGGUAACGGCUUACCAAGGCAACGAUGCAUAGCCGACCUGAGAGGGUGAUCGGCCACACUGGAACUGAGACACGGUCCAGACUCCUACGGGAGGCAGCAGUAGGGAAUCUUCCGCAAUGGGCGAAAGCCUGACGGAGCAACGCCGCGUGAGUGAUGAAGGUCUUCGGAUCGUAAAACUCUGUUAUUAGGGAAGAACAUAUGUGUAAGUAACUGUGCACAUCUUGACGGUACCUAAUCAGAAAGCCACGGCUAACUACGUG